rnacentral:rRNA from 1 species
UGGGGAAUAUUGGACAAUGGGCGCAAGCCUGAUCCAGCCAUGCCGCGUGUGUGAAGAAGGCCUUCGGGUUGUAAAGCACUUUUGUUGGGGAAGAAAAGCUACCGGUUAAUACCCGGGAGUCAUGACGGUACCCAAAGAAUAAGCACCGGCUAACUUCGUGCCAGCAGCCGCGGUAAUACGAAGGGUGCAAGCGUUACUCGGAAUUACUGGGCGUAAAGCGUGCGUAGGUGGUGAGUUAAGUCUGUCGUGAAAGCCCCGGGCUCAACCUGGGAAUGGCGAUGGAUACUGGCUCGCUAGAGUGCGGUAGAGGAGAGUGGAAUUCCCGGUGUAGCAGUGAAAUGCGUAGAGAUCGGGAGGAACAUCAGUUGCGAAGGCGGCUCUCUGGACCAACACUGACACUGAGGCACGAAAGCGUGGGGAGCAAACA